rnacentral:SRP_RNA from 1 species
CGCAAGUCAGGUCGAUUUGCUCCCUACAAUCCCCCAGGUACGGAAGUAAGCAAGGGUAAUAGGUUGAGCGAUGCGUUCCUGGCUUGUUUUU